rnacentral:tRNA from 2 species
GUAGGCAUAGUUUAACAAAAACAUUAGAUUGUGAUUCUAAAAACAGAGGUUAGACUCCUCUUGCCCACC